UUUUAUGCAGUGUAAUCUGUGCUUCUUGUAUAUUAAGUUAGUGGACUAUGGAAUGCUGAAGAGUCAUAUGUGACUGGAAAUCUUCUUGACUGCAUAAAUUGGCCAGAUUGCAUUGGAGAGUCGAUUUUCGAAACCGGAACAUGGAUAUGUAUUUGCCAGUACAGGUCAUCUUACCCAUGAUUGCGCCCACCGUUAGUCUGUGAUAACCUAAGCUGUCCCUCAUCAUCGGAAAUUUUCUGCCAAUGGAACAAACGGUGAAGGAGCCGAGUAAUGAAAUGCACAGGAAAUCCAGGUAAUUAACCAGACCAUUAAAGUCCUGUUACUGUUGAAAAUCAACAGAACUACAGCCGAUUCUGUUACGGAUUUUAUGGCAAACUGAUUGCAACGGGGCUUUAAUGAAUUCGGGCAAAAAACCACAGCACACUUAAAGAAACAAAUAAUUCAAAGCAAAGAAAUCUAUUGCAACAUGUUUACAUGAUUACAAUAAUCAUACUAUUUCACAGAGAUUAUAUUUGAUUGCAGAUCGUGUGGAAAUCAAUAAACCUCAACGAAUCAAGUGCCGAUUUCUUCCGCUCCUCAGAAGUGUAAAGAAUCUACUUUGAAC